AAGUCGUAACAAGGUUUCCGUAGGUGAACCUGCGGAAGCCAACGUUAAACCCCCUGUGAACCUUUAUUGCGAGUCACGCCUUUGUUAAUCCCUGGUAAAUCAUCGCCGAACAGUUUUGAUUCAGGGAUCUGCGAAGAGAGCGGUUGAAGCGCGAGGUAAGUCUGGCAUCACUCUGCUUGUUAGUGUCGGAAAGUGCCACUAUGUUCGAGUUUGGUGGCCGCACAAUUAAGCGCAGGCCCGUUUUCAUGCAAAGGUGAUAGGGGGCUACGCCCGGUGACCCGGUCGCCGGCCGUGUCGGCCUCCAGCGAUCGUGACUGCGCCAUCCGUACAACUGUUAACAAUGGAUAUCUUGGUUCUC
rnacentral:misc_RNA from 1 species